CAUAAAGAAGCUCUUUAGUAAAGCAAGUCUUCCUUCAGCAAAAUACUAUAUGUUUCAAAGGAGAGAUUUAACCUUUGAUCUUGGAUAAAUAGGGGUGUGUCGUGGGAUGAGACGUAAACGUUGAAAUGUUGAAGUGCAAGGACAAGAGCUAAACAUUCUUUUUCGAUGGUGGAAUAGUUUUGUUGGCUUACAUUAAAUUUUGUGGAAAAGUAGUAGACUGGAUGAUCUAUUCCCUCGCCAUCUUCUUGUAGAAACACUGCUCCGGCAGCUGUAUCACUGGCAUCAACGGAUAGUUUAAACGGACGUGAAAAGUUUGGAGCAGAUAAUAUGGGUGAGCGUUGCAACAUUGCUUUCAACUGAUCAAAAGCUAACUGGCACUGUUCUGUCCAGGAGAUUUUAACGUCCUUUUGUGACAAUUGCGUAAAUGGUUCAGCGACUGAAGAGAAAUUUGGGCAAAACUUGCGGUAGUAUCCUGCCAUACCAAGAAAACGCAUGACAUGUUUCUUGGUACUUGGUUCUGGAAAGUUGGCUGUAGCUUGUACCUUAGCAUCAACUGGUUUGACUUUAUUUUGACGCACGAUAUGUCCUAAAUAAGUAACUUGGCCGCAACCAAAUUCACGUCCUUUAUGUGUACUAAUUUUAAUUUUCAUAUGUUGCUGCCAGAAAAUUGUAAGUAUACUUUACACAAAGAGCUUUUUGAUUAGACCGACUAGACAACGUCACAAUAGUAAACACACAUACUAACAAUUUUAUGACGUAUCAGUUGAUUGUAGCUGGAGUAUAUGAUGAACUCUCAUUUCAAAUUUAAUCAUAACAAAUGGCGUUAAAAUCUGUAAAGCAAAAUUUUAUAUGAAAUAAAUUAUUUUUUUGUGUCUGCACAUCUCCAAA